rnacentral:rRNA from 1 species
GAUGAACGCUGGCGGCGUGCCUAAUACAUGCAAGUCGAGCGAACAGAUAAGGAGCUUGCUCCUUUGACGUUAGCGGCGGACGGGUGAGUAACACGUGGGUAACCUACCUAUAAGACUGGAAUAACUCCGGGAAACCGGGGCUAGUGCCGGAUAACAUUUAGAACCGCAUGGUUCUAAAGUGAAAGAUGGUUUUGCUAUCACUUAUAGAUGGACCCGCGCCGUAUUAGCUAGUUGGUAAGGUAACGGCUUACCAAGGCAACGAUACGUAGCCGACCUGAGAGGGUGAUCGGCCACACUGGAACUGAGACACGGUCCAGACUCCUACGGGAGGCAGCAGUAGGGAAUCUUCCGCAAUGGGCGAAAGCCUGACGGAGCAACGCCGCGUGAGUGAUGAAGGUCUUCGGAUCGUAAAACUCUGUUAUUAGGGAAGAACAAAUGUGUAAGUAACUGUGCACGUCUUGACGGUACCUAAUCAGAAAGCCACGGCUAACUACGUG